UACGAGGGGGGCGAGCGUUGUUCGGAAUUAUUGGGCGUAAAGGGUGCGUAGGCGGUUUGGUAAGUCUGAUGUGAAAUCUAUGGGCUCAACUCAUAGUCUGCAUCGGAAACUGCCGGGCUUGAGUGUGGGAGAGGUGAGUGGAAUUCCUGGUGUAGCGGUGAAAUGCGUAGAUAUCAGGAGGAACACCUGUGGCGAAAGCGGCUCUCUGGGACGGUACUGACGCUGAGGCGCGAAAGCUAGGGGAGCAAACAGG
rnacentral:rRNA from 1 species